rnacentral:rRNA from 1 species
AGAGUUUGAUCCUGGCUCAGGACGAACGCUGGCGGCGCGCCUAACACAUGCAAGUCGAACGAGCGAGAGAGAGCUUGCUUUCUCAAGCGAGUGGCGAACGGGUGAGUAACGCGUGAGGAACCUGCCUCAAAGAGGGGGACAACAGUUGGAAACGACUGCUAAUACCGCAUAAGCCCACGGGUCGGCAUCGACCAGAGGGAAAAGGAGCAAUCCGCUUUGAGAUGGCCUCGCGUCCGAUUAGCUAGUUGGUGAGGUAAUGGCCCACCAAGGCGACGAUCGGUAGCCGGACUGAGAGGUUGAACGGCCACAUUGGGACUGAGACACGGCCCAGACUCUUACGGGAGGCAGCAGUGGGGAAUAUUGCACAAUGGGGGAAACCCUGAUGCAGCGACGCCGCGUGGAGGAAGAAGGUCUUCGGAUUGUAAACUCCUGUUGUUGAGGACGAUAAUGACGGUACUCAACAAGGAAGUGACGGCUAACUACGUGCCAGCAGCCGCGGUAAAACGUAGGUCACAAGCGUUGUCCGGAAUUACUGGGUGUAAAGGGAGCGCAGGCGGGAAGACAAGUUGGAAGUGAAAUCUAUGGGCUCAACCCAUAAACUGCUUUCAAAACUGUUUUUCUUGAGUAGUGCAGAGGUAGGCGGAAUUCCCGGUGUAGCGGUGGAAUGCGUAGAUAUCGGGAGGAACACCAGUGGCGAAGGCGGCCUACUGGGCACCAACUGACGCUGAGGCUCGAAAGUGUGGGUAGCAAACAGGAUUAGAUACCCUGGUAGUCCACACCGUAAACGAUGAUUU